GACGUAGGUGGCGAACGUUAUCCGGAAUUACUGGGCGUAAAGCGCGUGUAGGUGGUGGGACAAGUCUGCUGUGAAAGCGCCUGGCUUAACCGGGCGAGGUCGGCGGAAACUGUCCGACUCGAGGACGGUAGAGGGGGGUGGAAUUCCCGGUGUAGUGGUGAAAUGCGUAGAGAUCGGGAGGAACACCUGUGGCGAAGGCGGCCCCCUGGGCCGGCCCUGACACUGAGACGCGAAGGCGUGGGGAGCGAACGGG
rnacentral:rRNA from 1 species